GAUGAACGCUGGCGGCGUGCUUAACACAUGCAAGUCGAACGAAGUGGCGAACGGGUGAGUAAUUCGUGGGUAACCUGCUCUCCUGUCUGGGAUAAGCCUUGGAAACGGGGUCUAAUACUGACUAGAGGGGGUGUGGCUCGGGGCCUAUCAGCUUGUUGGUGGGGUGAUGGCCUACCAAGGCGGUGACGGGUAGCCGGCCUGAGAGGGUGACCGGGCACAUUGGGACUGAGAUACGGCCCAGACUACUACGGGAGGCAGCAUUGGGGGCUAUUGCACAAUGGGUGAAAGCCUGAUGCAGCGUCGCCGCGUGGGGGAUGAAGGCUGUCGGGUUGUAAACCUCUUUCGCUAUCGAAGGGGUAGGUGGAGAAGAAGCGCCGGCUAACUACGUGCCAGCAGCCGCGGUAAUUC
rnacentral:rRNA from 1 species